UACGUAGGGCGCAAGCGUUGUCCGGAAUUAUUGGGCGUAAAGAGCUCGUAGGCGGCCUGUUGCGUCCGCUGUGAAAUCCCGGGGCUCAACCCCCGGGCGUGCAGUGGAUACGGGCUGGCUGGAGGCAGGCAGGGGAGAACGGAAUUCCUGGUGUAGCGGUGAAAUGCGCAGAUAUCAGGAGGAACACCGGUGGCGAAGGCGAGUCUCUGGACAUUUCCUGACGCUGAGGCACGAAAGCCAGGGGAGCAAACGGG
rnacentral:rRNA from 1 species